rnacentral:rRNA from 1 species
GUGCCAGCCGCCGCGGUAAUACGUAGGGUGCAAGCGUUGUCCGGAAUUAUUGGGCGUAAAGAGCGUGUAGGCGGCCCGAUUAGUCCGCUGUGAAAGUCCAGGGCUCAACCCUGGAAUGCCGGUGGAUACUGUCGGGCUAGAGUCCGGAAGGGGCGAGUGGAAUUCCUGGUGUAGCGGUGAAAUGCGCAGAUAUCAGGAGGAACACCAAUGGCGAAGGCAGCUCGCUGGGACGUGACUGACGCUGAGACGCGAAAGCGUGGGGAGCAAACAGGAUUAGAAACCCCUGUAGUCC